rnacentral:rRNA from 1 species
GUGUCAGCAGCCGCGGUAAUACGGAGGAGGCAAGCGUUAUCCGGAAUUAUUGGGCGUAAAGCGUCCGCAGGUGGCUCGCUCAAGUCUGCUGUCAAAGACCGGGGCUUAACUCCGGAAAGGCAGUGGAAACUGACAAGCUAGAGGGCUCUAGGGGUAGAGGGAAUUCCCGGUGUAGCGGUGAAAUGCGUAGAGAUCGGGAAGAACAUCGGUGGCGAAAGCGCUCUACUGGAGAGCAACUGACACUCAGGGACGAAAGCUAGGGGAGCGAAAGGGAUUAGAUACCCCUGUAGUCCUAGCUGUAAACGAUGGAGACUAGGUGUGGCCUGUAUCGACCCGGGCCGUGCCGGAGCUAACGCGUUAAGUCUCCCGCCUGGGGAGUACGCACGCAGGUGUGAAACUUAAAUGAAUUGACGGGG